GGCGUAGAAAGUAAUGACAGGAAUUGGAUGAAGUAAUUGAUCACUAAAGAACUACAGUGCUGGUGAGAUGUGUAAGAUUGAGGCAUUCUAUUGACAUUUU